GCAGUCGAGGGGCAGCGGGUAGAUGAGCUUGCUCAUUUAUGCCGGCGACCGGCGCACGGGUGAGUAACACGUAUGCAACCUGCCCGUCUCAGGGGGAUAAUCGUCGGAAACGGCGUCUAAUACCCCGUAUGAAGCUGGACGGCAUCGUCUGGUUUUGAAAGAAUAUCGGAGACGGAUGGGCAUGCGGCGCAUUAGCUGGUUGGCGGGGUAACGGCCCACCAAGGCAACGAUGCGUAGGGGUUCUGAGAGGAAGGUCCCCCACACUGGUACUGAGACACGGACCAGACUCCUACGGGAGGCAGCAGUGAGGAAUAUUGGUCAAUGGGCGAGAGCCUGAACCAGCCAAGUCGCGUGAGGGAGUACUGCCCUAUGGGUUGUAAACCUCUUUUGUCGGGGAGCAAAAGCCGGACGUGUCCGUCUGUGAGAGUACCCGAAGAAAAAGCAUCGGCUAACUCCGUGCCAGCAGCCGCGGUAAUACGGAGGAUGCGAGCGUUAUCCGGAUUUAUUGGGUUUAAAGGGUGCGCAGGCGGAUUUUUAAGUCAGCGGUCAAAUCGUGGGGCUCAACCCCAUCCAGCCGUUGAAACUGGGGAUCUAGAGUGUGCGAGAGGUAUGCGGAAUGCGUGGUGUAGCGGUGAAAUGCAUAGAUAUCACGCAGAACCCCGAUUGCGAAGGCAGCAUACCGGUGCGCAACUGACGCUCAGGCACGAAAGCGUGGGUAUCG
rnacentral:rRNA from 1 species